GGUACCAGUGAGUACAGCUUUACAAGCAACUGCUGAUGUGUCAUUCAAACUCCCCAUGUUCCAGAGUUCUCUCUGUAAAUGAAGAUGAUCACAAAGAUGGGCUAAUGGCUCUGCAACCCCUCAUGACCCCUUGGGAUUUCAGAGCACCUCAGAGGAUCUACAACUCCAGAUACCUGCUGCUCAGCUGCCCAUUUCUCCCCAUUAUGGGCAGCGACCCUGUGUU